GUUAAAAGUCUAGCUGCAGAGUUCUGAAUUAGUUGUAAUCUUUCAAUUGACUUUUUUGGAAGACCAGUAAAAAGAGCAUUACAAUAGUCCAACCUACUUGAAAUAAAUGCAUGGACUAACUUCUCAGAAUCCUGUCUUGAUAGAAAUGGCCGUACCUUGGCAAUGUUUCUUAGAUGGAAGAAGGCAACUUUUUCCCAAGGCACAGUGUGUGCCAUACACUUUGCAGACCUGCAUUGCUACGUGAUUUUUUAAACGAAAGAUCACUGACUCGGUCUUUUCCAUUUAAUUUUAUGCACAUGUUGAAUUGUGUGAUUGUGGUCAUUUAUGUGCAAUAGGUUAACAUCAGACUCAGAGGUCGCGUUAACAUCGGAUACAUAUAUAUGUUUUAAAAAACAAUUACUGAGACAAAUGGCGCAGUGCGCCGAUUCAGACUACAACGGACUGGCACCGGGAGAAACCCAACAGAAAUCCCCUUGAAAACGUGUUUUUAUAAAUGCUGUUCGAUUUAUAAAUACUCUUUAUAAAUAUCUAAUUUUGGGUUGUCGCUGUGGGCAGUGUCGGGUCAUGUUACACUCCAUUGUGCAUUCACUUUCGUUUUUGCGGUUUAUAAAGCGCGAGUGAUUCAGCAUACAAUAGCGGUUUUGCCUCCUGACUACAGUCUGUGUGCACUGAUUUUACUAGAACUUCGCCGGAAUCUUUCUGCAAGAUGUCGCGUCCUCAAGGUGCCCAGGCAUCUCCGUCUGACGGAGCGAUUGUCAGCGCCAAAGUGGGCGGCGUUUCGAUGUCCGCUGGCCCGGCGAAGGUACAGGUGGACCUGGGGAACAACACCGGAGUGAGCGCCGGUCCCGAUGGCGUGGAUCUGCAGCUGCUAGGCACCGACAUAAAAGUCAAUCCAAAUCAAAUACUAUCCCUCUUUGGAUUUAAGUGACUGUCUCUAAGAACAUGACAUCAUGUUGGUUGCAGUCAUUCAUGAUAUUAAAUUUAAUUUGAUUAAGCUUUACAGUAACAGUGAACAUUCAUAAACAUUUCGGCACAAUGAAAGCAUAGAAACCAAAGUAAUGUUUUUGUAACCUCUUUUUAAUUUCAUGCUUGUCUAAAGAAUAUUGUUCAAGUGCAUUUCAUAUAUAUAUCAAAGCAAUGUUUUUGUAACCUCUUUUCAAUCUCAUGCUUGUCUAAAGAAUAUUGUUCAAGUGCAUUUCAUAUUUAUAUAAAAUCAAUGUUUUUGUAACCUCUUUUUAAUCUUACACUUGUCUGUUACCGAAAGAAAGUAAAUUUCAAAUUAAUAAAAAAAAAAAAAAAAAUACAAACACA